rnacentral:rRNA from 1 species
ACGGGAGGCAGCAGUGAGGAAUAUUGGUCAAUGGGCGGAAGCCUGAACCAGCCAAGUCGCGUGAGGGAAGACGGCCCUACGGGUUGUAAACCUCUUCUGCGCGGGGGUAAAGUCGGGGACGGGUCCCCGAUUGCAAGUACCGCGCGAAAAAGGACCGGCUAAUUCCGUGCCAGCAGCCGCGGUAAUACGGAAGGUCCGGGCGUUAUCCGGAUUUAUUGGGUUUAAAGGGAGCGUAGGCGGGCCUUUAAGUCAGUGGUAAAAGCGUGUGGCUCAACCAUACCACGCCAUUGAAACUGGAGGCCUUGAGUGCACACAGGGAUGCUGGAAUUCGUCGUGUAGCGGUGAAAUGCUUAGAUAUGACGAAGAACUCCGAUCGCGAAGGCAGGUGUCCGGGGUGUAACUGACGCUGAGGCUCGAAAGUGCGGGUAUCAAACAGGAUUAGAUACCCUGGUA